rnacentral:rRNA from 1 species
AAAGCUCGUAGUCGAAUCUGUGUCCCGCGUCGCCGGUUCAUCGUCCGCGGUGUUAACUGGCGUACCGCGGGACGUCCUGCCGGUGGGCUCAGCCCGCGAGGGGGCCCGACUCAAUCCCGCCGCGGUGCUCUUCAUUGAGUGUCGAGGUGGGCCGGCACGUUUACUUUGAACAAAUUAGAGUGCUUAAAGCAGGCCAAAACUUCGCCUGAAUACUGUGUGCAUGGAAUAAUGGAAUAGGACCUCGGUUCUAUUUUGUUGGUUUUCGGAACCCCGAGGUAAUGAUUAAUAGGAACGGAUGGGGGCAUUCGUAUUGCGACGUUAGAGGUGAAAUUCUUGGAUCGUCGCAAGACGGACGGAAGCGAAAGCAUUUGCCAAAAACGCUUUCAUUGAUCAAGAACGAAAGUUAGAGGUUCGAAGGCGAUCAGAUACCGCCCUAGUUCUAACCAUAAACGAUGCCAGCUAGCGAUCCGCCGACGUUCCUCCGAUGACUCGGCGGGCAGCUUCCGGGAAACCAAAGCUUUUGGGUUCCGGGGGAAGUAUGGUUGCAAAGCUGAAACU